GCAGGCACCUUGACAAUGGACCUCCAGGCUCUUGCUAGUGUCCUCAGAUGGAGGUGGCCAUGACUCAAAAUGGUGGUGGUGGCAUGGCAAACCUGCAGGCACCAUGAUAUUGAGCUUCCAGGCCCUGGCUGAUGUCCCAAGAUGGAGGCUGCUGCAUUGGAAGAUGGAGCGAUUGUGGGCAACGUGGUCAGUGGGCUUGUUUUCUAAUAGCCUCUCCAGCAAAGGAUUAAUUACAGAAUACCCACAGGGAGAAGGAGAAAUGGCACUUUGACCCAAUUCUUGGCACCAGGCUGAAGGACCACACAUCCUGACCUGUGUUCAAUAGUGGAAUGAGAAAUAUCAAGACACAAAUUAGGAGCUGGCUUCGGUAAGUCAAUAGAACAAUUAAAAGUAGGAAAGUUCAUGAGGA
rnacentral:lncRNA from 1 species